rnacentral:rRNA from 1 species
GAGUUGCGAACGGGUGAGUAACGCGUAGGUAACCUGCCUGGUAGCGGGGGAUAACUAUUGGAAACGAUAGCUAAUACCGCAUAAAAGUCAAUAUCGCAUGAUAUUGAUUUGAAAGGGGCAAAUGCUCCACUACAAGAUGGACCUGCGUUGUAUUAGCUAGUAGGUGAGGUAACGGCUCACCUAGGCGACGAUACAUAGCCGACCUGAGAGGGUGAUCGGCCACACUGGGACUGAGACACGGCCCAGACUCC